CCUGGGAAAGCCUCUAACAUAGGUUGUUGUAAGUUUAAAAAACAAAAACAACAACAAAUAAAGGUUUUUUUUAUUUGUUUGUUUGUUUUUUCCUGCAGAUUUGGUCAGAUCAGAUAGGGAAAAUGCAAAUUCUGGGAGCAAACAGAAGUUCAUGAGAACUUUAAGGAAAUUCUCAGAAAUGCCAGAAGUCUCCAGGAAUGUUGAAAGUGUGACUAAACUAGGAACUAGAGAGGUUGUUAGAGAAUGAGCUGAUUUCUGCCAGGAAAUUCAGAAGAGAAGAUUUAAAC
rnacentral:lncRNA from 1 species